UAAUAUUAAGACACUGAGAUUUGUUACCGUGGCACUAUAUGCGCGUUAUAAAAAAUGCCUUAAAAAAGCAAAUAUCAUCCAUGAUCAGAUCAAGGGUGAACUGGUUAGCGAUGAAAAUCUGAACUCAGAUAAAAGCUUUCAUUUAUAUAUUAAAUUUAUAUAUUACUUAAUGACAUACAAUUUUUGAAAAGUACGGUAUAUAUGUGAGGUAAAAAAACACAACAAUAUUAAACCAUUUUGAGGACAUACUCAAGUGUGGAAACAAAAUGAAUCCUGUAAAUGUAAUCGGGAUGUUUUUUUUUUAAACUGUUUCUGUAAUCCUUGCACGCUCUCUUUCAGUACUUUGCGCGAGAGAUACGUUUUAGAUCAUGUAGCUGAACAGACAAUCUUUUUUAGUGGCAUGCAUGGGUGAUUUUAGUAACUAUCUACCGUAUGUUGAAAUUAUAUAUCAGUGAGUUAAGCGGCCUUCAACCUUCAAAUGUUUACAUGUGAUAUGUAAACACUACUGAUAUAUUUGUUUACAUCACGCCGUUCAAUAAAUUCUGCUACAAAAUGGAGCUAAAUUGGAGCAGCUUAAUGUUCUGUGGUGUUGUGCUUUUUCUAGGAUAUAUUUCAGCACAGGUUUUCAAUUUACUCGUUAGUUUCAACAGAAAAUGUCGGGCACUUCGUAAACUACCACAGCUACCCUCACACUGGCUUUAUGGACAUUCUCGAGAGAUAAAUGCUGAGUCAUCAAAGUCAUUUCUAAAUGUUUCAAUGCGUGCCAUGGAAGAACUGGACGCCAAAGUAUUCCUGAUAUGGUGUGGCUCUUUCCCUUUUGUACAGAUUUGCCACCCAGACACAUUUAAACAGGCCAACCAUAAGGUUUUAACAAAAGACACUAGUUUGGCCGGCCCAUACCGUCUGCUGCGAGAGUUCAUCGGUGAAGGUCUUCUGGGAAGUAACGGAAAAAAGUGGGAAAGAAACCGGAAACUACUUACGCCAGCCUUCCACUUCCACAUAUUGUCAGAAUAUGUUUCUAUAAUGAAUAAAACCGUCGAUGUUCUUAUGGAUAAGCUUGAAACGGCUGCAGCCAACGGAAAAAGCGUGGACGUAUUCCCGUACAUCUGUCGAUCAGCUUUGGACAUCUUAGUUUCCUGUUCCCUGUCUUAUGAAGGAAACUUUCAAGACUACCGUAAACCAUGGCAGCUGGUAGACUUCCUCUUCUACCUGUCUCCCACAGGGCGGGAACUGAAACGACUGUGUAAAACUUCGAGGAGUUUCACUGAAAGUAUUAUCAAAACAAGGAAAGAAGAACUGGAGAAACAGCCAAGCAUAAAAGAAAAGAGAUGCCUAGAUUUUCUGGACAUGCUCUUGACUGUACGUGAUGAACAAGGUAACGGGCUGACGUUUGGAGAAAUACAUGACGAAGUUGAUACUUUUACAUUUGCAGGUCACGACACGACGGCAUGUACGAUCGACUGGACAAUGUAUGCACUUGGAUUACAUCGUGAAGCUCAGGAAUUGGUUUACCAAGAUGUGUGUGAGGUUCUUGGUGACGAAACAGAUGUCAAAACAGAACAUUUGGGGAAGUUUUCAUACCUGGUGCAGUUUAUAAAAGAAGCCAUGAGGUACUACAGUCCGGUCCCAGGAUUUACAAGACGAAAUGAACACCCUAUUGAAAUUGAUGGAUACGAAAUACCAAGCGGAACUGGCAUUAAUUUACAGCCGUACCUAAUUCAUCACAACAAGAACGUAUGGCAAGAACAUAAUGAGUUUAGACCUGAACGGUUUGAUGCGGAUCACAGAGAUGACAAUGAAAUUUAUGGAUUUUUGCCGUUCUCAGCAGGAUCCAGAAAUUGUAUAGGACAAGUGUUUGCCAUGAAUGAAGUGAAAAUAACGAUUGCCAAGUUGGUAUACAAGUAAAUUCCCUAAUCCAGAACUAGCGACUUUAGCUUCUAAACAUGAAUGUACAUUUGAUCAAAUGUACGACGGAAGUUUGAGAUUAUGAAAGACCCCGACCACGAGACGGACAUUCGUCCUGAGAUUGUAAUGCGGCCAUCAAAUGGAAUAAAAUUGUUUCUCAAGAAAAGACAAAACUAAUACAUACAGUUUAUUCAGUGUUUAAGACCCCGACCAUGAGACAGACAUUCGUCCUGAGUUUGUAAUGCGACCAUCAAAUGGGAUAAAAGUGUUUCUCAAGAAAAGACAAAACUAAUACAUACAGUUUAGUCAGUGUUUAAGAUACCGACCAUGAGACAGACAUUCGUCCUGAGUUUGUAAUGCGACCAUCAAAUGGGAUAAAAGUGUUUCUCAAGAAAAGAUAAAAUAAUAUCUAAUUCUGUAUUGCCACUUAUUCAUAAAAUGACUUUCGUUUCCGUCAGCAGAGUCCAGGCUUUAUUCUACGUUUUCUAUAUAAAUGACGUAACGUCAUUAGUUCCGGUUUAUCAAAUGUGUCAUUUUUAUUUACGCUCGGUAGAUGCUCGAGCGU